rnacentral:rRNA from 1 species
UAGCGUAGGGGGCUAGCGUUGUCCGGAAUCAUUGGGCGUAAAGCGCGCGUAGGCGGCCCGGUAAGUCCGCUCUGAAAGUCCAGGGCUCAACCCUGGAAAGCGGGUGGAUACUGCCGGGCUAGAAUCCGGAAGAGGCGAGUGGAAUUCCUGGUGUAGCGGUGGAAUGCGCAGAUAUCAGGAGGAACACCAAUAGCGAAGGCAGCUCGCUGGGACGGUAUUGACGCUGAGGCGCGAAAGCUAGGGGAGCAAACGGG